rnacentral:rRNA from 1 species
CCUACGGGUGGCAGCAGUGGGGAAUAUUGGGCAAUGGACGCAAGUCUGACCCAGCAAAGCCGCGUGAAGGAAGAAGGCUUUCGGGUUGUAAACUUCUUUUAAGGGGGAAGCGCUGAAGACGGUACCCCUUGAAUAAGCCACGGCUAACUACGUGCCAGCAGCCGCGGUAAUACGUAGGUGGCACGCGUUGUCCGGAUUUACUGGGGUUAAAGGGCGUGCAGCCGGUGAGAUAAGUCAGAUGUGAAAUCCACGGGCUCAACCCGUGAACUGCAUUUGAAACUGGUGCUCUUGAGUGGGGGAGAGGUAAUCGGAAUGCGUGGUGUAGCGGUGAAAUGCAUAGAUAUAAGGAAGAACACCAGUGGCGAAGGCGGAUUACUGGACGAUAACUGACGGUGAGGCGCGAAAGCGUGGGGAGCAAACAGGAUUAGAUACCCGAGUAGUC